rnacentral:rRNA from 1 species
UACGUAGGGUGCGAGCGUUAAUCGGAAUUACUGGGCGUAAAGCGUGCGCAGGCGGUUUUGUAAGCCAGGUGUGAAAUCCCCCGGGCUCAACCUGGGAAUGGCAUUUGGGACUGCAAGGCUGGAGUGCGGCAGAGGAGACUGGAAUUCCUGGUGUAGCAGUGAAAUGCGCAGAUAUCGGGAAGAACACCCGUGGCGAAGGCGGCACUCUGGGACGGUACUGGACGGCUGAGACGCGAAAGCGUGGGGAAGCGAACGAG